UACGGACACAUCACCUUGAAAUACCGGUUCCCUUAUGAUUACUGAAGUUAAGCAAGGUCGAUCCUAGCUAGUACCUAGAUAGGUGACCGCUUGGAAAUACCAGGUGCC